rnacentral:rRNA from 1 species
UACGAAGGGGGCUAGCGUUGCUCGGAAUGACUGGGCGUAAAGGGUGCGUAGGCGGGUCUUUAAGUCAGGGGUGAAAUCCUGGAGCUCAACUCCAGAACUGCCUUUGAUACUGAGGAUCUUGAGUUCGGGAGAGGUGAGUGGAACUGCGAGUGUAGAGGUGAAAUUCGUAGAUAUUCGCAAGAACACCAGUGGCGAAGGCGGCUCACUGGCCCGAUACUGACGCUGAUGCACGAAAGCGUGGGGAGCAAACAGG